AUUAACAUCAGAUUUAAUACCUAAUCCAGCCAUUAUACUAAUUAAUACAAAUUAAAAUCAAGAAGAAAUUGAAAGAGAGGCUAGGUUAAGGAAAACACCAAUCAUGUACGUCUGAGAACUCCUUCAUCACAAAGCAGACGACGGCCUCUCAUGUACACCCCUUUCGGCGGAAAAAUCCCUCCAUCGCUGCCGUGAACCACGACCACGCAUCCACGAUGACCUCUCAUCUAUCUCGAUUCUCUCAUCUUUCUCGAUCUCGAUUCUCUCUGUUCGCCUCUCCGAUUCACUCUCGCUAUCAACGCUCCAAUUUGACAAAGGCACUCCGGUGCUUCUUCGAUUUGAUUGAAGGUGAGGAAAAGAAAUCCAUGAGAUGCUUCAAGAAUCCAGGUAGCUUCGUCCAGAUUUCUCUGCGUAGACUUGUUAAGGUGUGGUUCUUAGAUGAAGGUGAAAUCGUUGUUUGAAGGUUCGAUUAUGAUGUUGGAGAUUUGAUAAGGUCGUUGAAGAUUGAUUGGAUACUGAUGACGAUGAAUUUUGCUGCGAUUUGUUCGCGAUGACGAACGUGAAGCAAGACCUUCUGCAGUGGUGAUGAAGACGUUGCAGAGAGUAUUUGGAGAAUGAUUUGAAUUGAUGUAGAAGAUGAAGAUAAAUUUAUUUGCGAUGAUGAAGGAGAUUGCAGAGAUUUCUUGAAGAUGAUUGAUGAAGAUGAAUGAAGGUUUUGAUGGAGUUCGUUACGUUUCGGUUAUGAGGUGCUGUAUCAUGAACUAAUGAUUCACGGUUUCUUCUCCGCAAUGAAAUUAAUCACAAGCCAUCAAAAAUUCUUCCAUCAAUGAAAUUUUCUUUUGUAUCUUAUGUGACUGAAAAAUCAACUACUUUGUAAAUCUUCUUGGAAUUGAACUUGUACUUAGUAAUGGAUAGAACUUUUUGUAAUGAGCUUUGUACAUGGACUUGAAUCUCUUGAUUUAUUGUGAUGAUCUCUUGAAUAUGUAAUGAAUAUAAAGACUUCUUUAAA